rnacentral:lncRNA from 1 species
AUAUAGUUGUGUUCGUAUUUUGAUCAGUGUAACAUAUAUGUUGAUAGGAAUUGCAAUCUCUUUUAAUUUGACUCAAACUGUGUAGUAGCAGUGGCGAAGCCAGAAAGUUAUAGUAGUGGGGUCAAAAUUAUUAGUAAGUUAUAAAAAAUUUGACGGGGGUUCGGGGGCAACGGCCCCGAGACAAUUUUUUUUAAUACUGUAUACUUUCGGGACAGACAAAUGCAUCCAAAUAUCUAAUUUAAUAAUACUAACAAAAAGGGGAAAUCACAAUUGAUUUAUGAAAACAAAACUGAGGUUUGGCUUUGCCCCAUCUCUCUCUAUUUUGUGGUUGAAGUGCUGAACAGAUAUUGAUGUAUGAGAUUUAGGACUGAGGCUUGGCCGCUUGGGUAUCUCUAAUUAAAAAAAAAAUCUGAGUGGGGUAAAAACUUUUUUUUAAGUGCUUUCAAAAAUUGAGUGGGGUCAAUUGACCCCACAUUUUCACCCUCGCUUCGCCCCUGUGUAGUAGUAUCACAGGGUGUGGUAUCUAACUUGGACAUCGACUAGGUUUUCCAGUCCGAAAUAUUAAUAGAUUAUCAUAUAUUCAUUAUAAAAGAAAAAAAUAUAGGGAAAAAAAGUAAACGAUAUUUCAGUUAAUAAAACCUUGAACAAAUACACAAAACCAUUGAGAAACAUGGAUUUUGAGUAAAGCUUGCUUAUUG